rnacentral:lncRNA from 1 species
CCGCGCUGCCUGUCAAGGCGCCGUCGCCCGCCCUCGGCGGCCCCUCCCCAACCGCUCGCUCGCUCGCCACCACAGCAGCAGCGGGCGUCAACAAUCCGCCUCCGGAAGCGGAAACCCCACCUCUCCGGCGCGCCAGGCUUGGGGAGCCGGGCGGGCGGUUGGUGGUGCUUUGUGAGUUGGUUCCUGGGCUACGCGAUGUUUCUCGGGGGUCCUCUGUGCAUGCUGCACCUAAUGGCUUGAACAUGACAGUGAUGCCGAGAGUCAAUCCUGUCUUUCCUCUGGGAGACAGAAAAGACAUCACUUUUGGCCUUUAA